AUCUGGAGACUCAGAGAGGAAAGUCACUUUCCCAAGGGCACAGCCCAGAGGCUCCCAGGGCAUGCCUCUGCCGUCGCCCCACGCCUGCAUCUUCAGCUCCCUUCUCUGCAGAGCAGCACAUCCAUGACCCUGUGAACCUUUCCAUUUGGGCUUUCCAUAGACGCCCAAACUCAAUAUGUCAAAACUCAGCUAUCAGCUCUUACCCCCAAGCCUCUCCCGCAUGACAUUAGCAGCUACUCCACCAAGCGCAGGACUUGGGGACAAGUGGAUGUGGCUUUGGGACCUGGUUUCUCCAAUCACCAGCUCUGAGACUUCAGGCAGGUCACGUAACUGGCCUAGAUAUCACUUUUCCCAUCUCCACAGAGCGGUCCGGGGUUUACACGUGAUCAGAUAUAAAGAAACUGAGGCACAGAGAAGUUAUGUCACCUGCCUUUGGUCACGCAGUAAGGGGCAGAACUGGAAUUCAAAACUGGGAAGUCUGGCCUGUGAGUCCACGACUGAUGUAAAGCCUGGCGUGAAGCAUUGCUUGUGGCGAUGGGCGUCUGGUCCUAAAAUCUUCAAUCUGCCUGGCACAGAAGGCUGGACUCGGGCGCCGGGAACGACCUUGGAGACGCGCCCCAAAUAUCCUUCUCAACAAGCCUGGGUCUGAAACAAGCUUUGAAACGGAAUAUUAUCGCACCUGCAAUUUUCAUAUGCUGUGACAGGCAGAAUGCCUGGGAACAAGCCCUGAGAUUCCAGCUCUGGCCCCUGCCUUUAGGAUCUGGAAGAGAGAGCGAUUGGCCUGCGGGCCAUUAUCAAGCCUUCUGAUGGUGCACAUUAAUAAUAAUAAGCAUCUGAGAUUUUUAUUGGAUAAUUUAAAAAUAUAUAAGUACUUGAAUACUGAGCCUUUAUCUUGGCUGUUUCUUGAGAACGCUUAUCUCAUUGUUGGUGAUUCAUGUUUAUUAUUAACUAAGUAGUAAAAAAUUAAAAGCAUUUUACAAUAAUGAAUAAAUUAUUUCUAAUGAAUAUAUAAAAGGGGUUG
rnacentral:lncRNA from 1 species